rnacentral:rRNA from 1 species
GACGAACGCUGGCGGCGUGCUUAACACAUGCAAGUCGAACGGAAAGGCCCUGCUUUUGUGGGGUGCUCGAGUGGCGAACGGGUGAGUAACACGUGAGUAACCUGCCCUUGACUUUGGGAUAACUUCAGGAAACUGGGGCUAAUACCGGAUAGGAGCUCCUGCUGCAUGGUGGGGGUUGGAAAGUUUCGGCGGCUGGGGAUGGACUCGCGGCUUAUCAGCUUGUUGGUGGGGUAGUGGCUUACCAAGGCUUUGACGGGUAGCCGGCCUGAGAGGGUGACCGGCCACAUUGGGACUGAGAUACGGCCCAGACUCCUACGGGAGGGAGCAGUGGGGAAUAUUGCACAAUGGGCGGAAGCCUGAUGCAGCAACGCCGCGUGCGGGAUGACGGCCUUCGGGUUGUAAACCGCUUUCGCCUGUGACGAAGCGUGAGUGACGGUAAUGGGUAAAGAAGCACCGGCUAACUACGUG